UACGUAGGCAGCAAGCGUUGUUCGGAAUUACUGGGCGUAAAGAGUGUGUAGGCGGUGUCGUAAGUUUGGCGUGAAAUCUCCCGGCUUAACUGGGAGGGUGCGCCGAAGACUGCGGUGCUUGAGGAUCGGAGAGGAAAGUGGAAUUUCUGGUGUAGCGGUGAAAUGCGUAGAUAUCAGAAGGAACACCUGUGGUGUAGACGGCUUUCUGGACGAUUCCUGACGCUGAGACACGAAAGCGUGGGGAGCAAACAGG
rnacentral:rRNA from 1 species